AUGACUUUCAGGAGUGCUCCAGAGCCAUCCCAAGGACCUGACCUUGAGGAAAGAACCCACAGGCAGCAUUCCAAAGGGAAAAGCAGAAACCACCCGAGCAAUACGCACCGGCCAUUCCCAGUUUUAGCAGGGAUGGGAUUUUCUGGCCGAAACCUCCGUUUUUCCCACCCAAAACCCCUCUUGGUGCCAUUCCCAGAGGCCUCCCCGGGAUGGAACGCGCGGCUUCCCUGCUCCCUGUCCUCCAAGGAGCACCUGAGGCCAUGGAAAAGGGAGGACCCCGCUCCAUCCCCGCUCCAUCCCAACAAUCCCUCUCUCCCAGGCCCCAGCGCUCCCACCUCCGCCACGGCCUCCUCAUCCCAUUCCCGAGCUUUUCCCGGCGAUGGGAGCAGCGGGAGCUCCCGUGGAGCCGGGACUCCCAAUGAUUCAGCACUUUCCCCCCUUUCCCGGAGGGAAUCGAUCCCCGGGAGCGCUGCGGGAGGAUGCGGAUCCCGCACCCGGCACUCACCGCUCGCCGCCGGGGCCCGGCGCUUCCCGGCGCCGCAUCCCAACCCAGGAAAAAGGAGCCGCUGGAACAUCUUGGAAUCACUGGAGCAAAAAUCCAGGUGGGAAAUGAUGCGGAAGGAAGGACACGGCCGAGAACAUUCCUGCCCUCAGGAUGAAUCCAACCCGCGGGAAUUUCCUGGUCUGGGAGAAAGGGCCACGGGCAGCGUCCGGCGUGUCCAGGGCUUCCCAUUCCAUGGGGAAAGCGGCUGGAAUGGGAUCACCGGGCUCUGCUGGUUUCCCACAGCCCUUGGGUGAGCUUGGCCGUGGAUCCCAGAGAGAAAAUCCUGGAAAAAUCCUGGAAGGAAAAGAGGGAAGUGAUGAAAUGGGAAAGACAAUUGUCCCCAGAUCCAGCAGCGGCUGAGCCCAAACCCCACAGGGACACGUUCACACCCCCGAAUUCCUGCGCUUGUCCCAUUCCCAUCCCUGAAUUCCUGCCCUUGUCCCAUUCCCAUCCCUGAAUUCCUGCGCUUGUCUCCUUCCCAUCCCCGAAUUCCUUCCCU
rnacentral:lncRNA from 13 species